AACGCGAAGAACCUUACCUGGGUUUGACAUCCCCUGACAACCGUAGAGAUACGGCUUUGGUAGCAAUACCACAGGGAGACAGGUGCUGCAUGGCUGUCGUCAGCUCGUGUGGUGACAUGUUGGGUUAAGUCCCGCAACGAGCGCAACCCUUGUCUUUAGUUGCCAGCAUUCAGUUGGGCUCUCUAAAGAGACUGCCGUGGUGAACACGGAGGAAGGUGGGGAUGACGUCAAGUCCUCAUGGCCUUUAUAUCCAGGGCGACACACGUGAUACAAUGGCCGGUACAGAGGGACGCCAAAGCGCAAGCUGGAGCCAAUCUCAAAAAGCCGGUCUCAGUUCGGAUUGGAGUCUGCAACUCGACUCCAUGAAGUUGGAAUCGCUAGUAAUCGCGGAUCAGCACGCCGCGGUGAAUACGUUCCCGGGCCUUGUACACACCAGACGUA
rnacentral:rRNA from 1 species